rnacentral:rRNA from 1 species
UGAGGAAUAUUGGGCAAUGCCCGCAAGGGUGACCCAGCAACGCCGCGUGGAGGAUGAAUGUCGUAAGAUUGUAAACUCCUGUUAGAGGGGAAGAAUAGUACCGGUUGGACCGGUAUAUGACUGUACCCUCAGAGAAAGCCCCGGCUCACUACGUGCCAGCAGCCGCGGUAAUACGCAGGGGGCAAGCGUUGUCCGGAUUUACUGGGUGUAAAGGACGCGCAGGCGGGAUAAAAAGUCAGUGGUGAAAUCCUACAGCUUAACUGUAGAACUGCCUUUGNUACUUUUAUUCUUGAGUUCGGGAGAGCGAGACGGAAUUCCAGGUGUAGUGGUGAAAUACGUAGAUAUCUGGAAGAACACCAGUUGCGAAGGCGGUCUCCUGGUCCGACACUGACGCUGAGGCGCGA